AGCUUUGGUGACCUCAGUGGUUAGAGUAUCCAGCUCACAUGUGGGAGGUUGCAGGUUUGAACCCUGGCAGAGUCA